GUGGCGAACGGGUGAGUAACACGUGAGCAACCUGCCCUUGACUCUGGAAUAACAGUUGGAAACAGCUGCUAAUACCAGAUAUUCAUCGUCUCCUUCCUGGGGGGUGGUGGAAAGCUCCGGCGGUCAGGGAUGGGCUCGCGGCCUAUCAGCUUGUUGGUGAGGUAAUGGCUCACCAAGGCUUCGACGGGUAGCCGGCCUGAGAGGGCGACCGGCCACACUGGGACUGAGAUACGGCCCAGACUCCUACGGGAGGCAGCAGUGAGGAAUAUUGGACAAUGGGUUAGCGCCUGAUCCAGCCAUCCCGCGUGAAGGACGACGGCCCUAUGGGUUGUAAACUUCUUUUGUACAGGGAUAAACCUAUCUACGUGUAGAUAGCUGAAGGUACUGUACGAAUAAGCACCGGCUAACUCCGUGCCAGCAGCCGCGGUAAUACGGAGGGUGCAAGCGUUAUCCGGAUUUAUUGGGUUUAAAGGGUCCGUAGGCGG
rnacentral:rRNA from 1 species